AACGGCAGCACUGUACUUUAGAAUGCCAAUUCCCCUUCCCCAAGAAUGGUCCUUUCAGGGGUCUAGGCUGCUCCCUUAUUCAUUGUUAUCUGCUGCUUAUAGGGCUGCCUAAUGAGGGGCAGGCAUCUUCCAGUCAGCAGCCCCAGGAUGGCAGAGAGGCCAGGUGGGACUCCACUCUAACAGAAGAUAUCAUAAACAGGCCAUAUGGCAGGCUAUGUUCAUGGACAUAUUCUCAUUAAGCACCCAUUGCAUGCCAGAUGCUAGUAAAGGCCAUUUAAUCGAGGCUGACUUACAGGAUCUGAAGUUCAGUCCAUUAUCAUCAAGGUGGGCGCAUCGUGGUAUCUAGGCAGGCAUGGUGCAGAAGAGCUCAAAGUUUGUAUCAUGUUCAGAAGGGAACCAGGAGAGACUGGCUAAGGAAGAUGAGUUAAGGUUUGUGCCCAAGUCCAGUGAUGAGCGACAUUUUAUGGCAGCUGCCUGGGAAUAUGAAGCAGUGAAGUCAAGAUCAGAGAAUGGGCCUGCACAGAGACAAACUAAAGGCAGCUUACUUAACUGGUUGGGACUCUGGCUACAGUGGACAUUGCUGGGAUAGCUGCAAAACUGAAAGGGGUUCUCAGAGGUGGUCGAGGUUAUGGAAGUUCUUUGUUUAGUUCUAUAUCCUUCUGCAAAUUAAAUAUCAUAUAUUUAUUA